AUAUGAGUUUGUAAUCUAUCACCUUAAUUCCGGAGGAUGUUGAGGCCAUUGAUUGCAAUACUCUAAGAAGGUCUCUUCAUCACCGGACUCAUAAGCCGGAAUCACCAGCGGAGGAUCCACCGUAAAAUCGAAAACCUCUUUCCAAUCACGCACGUUUUUCGUAUGUUCAGUAUCAUAGUAACCUAAGGGAUUCACUUCAUCUCGUUUCACCUUCCUCUUCUCCUCCACCGACAGAUCAAAAAACCUCUUCGAAGCCGAAAAUACCCUUUCACGGCUCUCGAUAGGAACCCCGUGGUUGAUCACUUGAAAGAAUCCCCAAUCUCUGCUGGCGUCACGGAUUUGAUCCACCAAAUCACGUAUCUCCGGAGCAUUAGGGUUAGCUGGAGAUGAGGUUACAAAAGCAGAUAGAUCGAUUUGCGGGAUUCCUUGAGCUUCGAUUACUGCGGGUUUGGGUCGGUGUUCGAGCUCUUGGAUGAAGGUUGUAGUGAAGACGUGUGUCUAUAUUAAUUACUGUGACGACGUAAACAUGGUUGGUGUUAUGAAUCUGGACGUGUUUUUGUGCUGUGUGCUUUGA
rnacentral:lncRNA from 1 species